rnacentral:rRNA from 1 species
UACGUAGGGGGCUAGCGUUGUCCGGAAUCAUUGGGCGUAAAGCGCGUGUAGGCGGUUCGGUAAGUCCGCUGUGAAAGUCGGGGGCUCAACCCUCGGAUGCCGGUGGAUACUGUCGGACUAGAGUACGGAAGAGGCGAGUGGAAUUCCCGGUGUAGCGGUGAAAUGCGCAGAUAUCGGGAGGAACACCUAUGGCGAAGGCAGCUCGCUGGGACGUUACUGACGCUGAGACGCGAAAGCGUGGGGAGCAAACAGG